rnacentral:rRNA from 1 species
UACAGAGGUCUCAAGCGUUGUUCGGAUUCAUUGGGCGUAAAGGGUGCGUAGGCGGCGCGGUAAGUCGGGUGUGAAAUCUUGGAGCUUAACUCCGAAACUGCAUUCGAUACUGCCGUGCUUGAGGACUGGAGAGGAGAGUGGAAUUCCUGGUGUAGCGGUGGAAUGCGCAGAUAUCAGGAGGAACACCAACGGCGAAGGCAGCUCGCUGGGACGGUACUGACGCUGAGGCGCGAAAGCGUGGGGAGCGAACAGG